rnacentral:tRNA from 1 species
GCCCGGCGGGCUCGGUCGGUUAAGCAUCUAACUUCGGCUCAGGCUCAGGUCAUGAUCUCACAGUUCGUGGGUUCGAGUCCCAUGUCGGGCU